AAAAAUACCAAAAAAAA
rnacentral:sRNA from 1 species